rnacentral:lncRNA from 1 species
GCCUCUAGAGAUAAUGCUGCGAGCUCGUCCUGGCCAAGACCCGUCUCCUUCUGUUGCUGUUUGGAACGACUCCAUCUUCUCUUUGUUUCACUGUUUGCAUACACCCCUUCUAAAGUGUUAGUUGCAGUGUGAUACUAGAAAUAUUAGACUGACUGAUUCCAUAUUGGAGUUAUGUUUCUAUUGAUCAAGGGUCCAUAUUAAAGUUAGAUUUCUUCAUUUAUGUUAUGUCCCACCUCACAAAAGCCUUUGGAAUGAGCUAUAUAAUCACUGUAUAAGUAACCUAUUUAUAAUUACACGUGCCCCUUUAGCACUAUGUUUGUUACUCAUCCAUUCUCCUUUAAGAUGUUCUUCCAACAAAUAUGAUCUGUACAAUGGUAUACAAAGUUCAAAAACUUAGAAGAAAGUGUCAUGUGAGAAUUUUGAUAAUACAUAGAAUAGGUCAUACUACCAUGGACAUUUAUAACUUGGUAUAAUUCAGUGCUUCUUUAAAUAGGUAUAAUUAAUUAUUUAUAUAUUGUGCUUUGCGUAGAUUUUUGUUCCAUUAUUUGGUCUGUGCUACUUUCGUUUGAUAAUAUGUUAUGAUUUUCUGUCAUGCAUCCCACGGAUUUCAGGUUCUUCAGUUAACUUGAUUCUUCUCUCUGCCUAUUGAUAUUGUGUUAAAUGAGAAUCUAUUUUUGUCGUUCCAAUCGGUACUAC